rnacentral:rRNA from 1 species
CCUACGGGUGGCAGCAGUGAGGAAUAUUGGUCAAUGGACGCUAGUCUGAACCAGCCAAGUAGCGUGAAGGAUGACUGCCCUAUGGGUUGUAAACUUCUUUUAUAUGGGAAUAAAGCGCAGUAUGUAUACUGCUUUGCAUGUACUUUAUGAAUAAGGAUCGGCUAACUCCGUGCCAGCAGCCGCGGUAAUACGGAGGAUCCGAGCGUUAUCCGGAUUUAUUGGGUUUAAAGGGAGCGUAGGCGGGUUGUUAAGUCAGUUGUGAAAGGUUGGGGCUCAACCCUGGAAUUGCAGUUGAUACUGGUGUGCUUGAGUGCAGUAGAGGUAGGCGGAAUGCGUGGUGUAGCGGUGAAAUGCUUAGAUAUCACGAAGAACACCGAUUGCGAAGGCAGCCUGCUGGUCUGUAACUGACGCUGAGGCUCGAAAGCGUGGGUAUCAAACAGGAUUAGAUACCCUUGUAGUC